UAUCCUGCAUUCAGAAUUUUACUGUUAGCCAACAUUCUAAUACGUGUGUCAAUGUGGUGAGCUCACUGGAUCCUCCUGCCAGUCACCUUUUAACUACGUAACUCUCACAGUUUCUCAGGGCUGCAGGCAGGAGGAACUUGCUGCAUGUCAGAUUUGAUGCUCCUGUGUCCCUUUCUUGAUUCUGAACAAAGAACAGAAAGUAUUGGUAUCCUUAUAUGGUUGGUAACUGAUAAGCAGAACUCUGCUCCACAUUUUCAAAAGAAGUGAUGUUGUCAUGACCUGCCCUCAGGGUUCCAGCAGGGCUUCUUGUCACUCUACAAGAUCCCAGGGAACUGAUAAGUUCAUUACGAUCUCUUAGGUGUGCAGGCUGCCUUUAUGCACUUAGGGGGUGGUUCAGCAUAGUGGGGUCCAGCAGGAGUUCUGGAGUUGACAAAACUGAGCAGAUUCUUACUUUCUUGUUUACUAGUUGUGGGUUAUGGUCAAGCGACGUGUUUAAUGCCCAUUUGUGCUCACAUCAACAUGUAUUUUUUCAACAGAAUUUCUCAAAUGAAAAUCAUUUCACAUUCUUCUCAGAGAAAUGUCACAGCGAAAGGAAGAUGACUGGGAAGGAGUGGAUGACUAGGAAGUGCUUUCCUUAAGAAACAGGCAAGGCUCUCAAGACUGGACAUGGAAGCCAAGGAGCAGUGGAGCUUAAUUCCCUUCCUUCUUGGCUCUAGUGACGCUCUUCUCAUGAACUGAAUGAAGCUUAAGUGAUAGCGUGUUUUAGGAAUAUUCUCCUUAAACAUAUUUACCUCUUACGCUCUCUGAAUCCAUUCUCCGUCAUACUGUGCCUGCCCACGUGGAGCCUGCAGACACUGCACCAGCUGCCCCCACAGUCAGCCUCUAGUGAAAGCCCAGUCUCCCGUACCUCCCACCGCCCCAACCUCCAACGACUCCGCCUGACACGGCAUCACCGCCACCUCUCAGCCUUCCAGUGUGCUUGCUGUCUUCCCUAUUCUGCGUCUUCAGUAAAUAGAAAAUAAGAUGCAUGAUGGAGCCUCAUGACAAUUAGAGGACAAGAAAGAGGAAAGACCUGUAAUUGAGAGGGCUUUUUGAUACAACAACAUUUCAAGAAGGAGCUUCUGCUACUUUUCACACUGAUCUUCUGACUGAUGAACUUUGUGUGGCCCAAUAAAGCCAAACUACUUGCCGAGGAGCAUAAGGUUGAUUCAAAUCAGCAUCAGAAUCCACAAUCCUCUCUCACUCUGGGACCAUUCCUUAGUGGCUGAGCCCCCACAGGAACUUCUUGAAUAUAAGUAUUUUCAUCCUAUUAACUCGUUAGAAUAGCUUUAAAUGCUUCCAGAGAACUGCUAUGAUUCUAUUCUAUUCUGACCCAACCUAAUUACUGUUUUGUUCCUUUGCAGUUUGAAUUGACUUGUUUUUUGCUCAGCUCUCCUUCUUCUUUACUUACUACGUAAUGUUGAUGAUUAACCUGAAGAUGAUAGUAUGUUUGUAAAAUGUUGGGAAAGCUGGCAAGAUUUCAAAUAUUCAAGUAUCAUGAAAAAAAGGAGAGAGAGAAUUCUUUCAUUUAUACGUUCUUUUGAAAGCAGACACACACAUCAACUGCUGAAUGCCUGAGGCGUCCGCAACUCAAGAGUGGAAGAGAUUUCAAGAAGCAGACAAGUCUGUGUGCACCUGUGCCAGCCAGCAAUCAGUCUCCCGUCACCCUGCCCUCCCCUCUAUGAGUGUGUUUAUAGGCAUGUGUGUGCGUACACACACAAGACACACACACAGAGGCAAAUACACAUAUUAUACAGAGAAAAUGUUCCUAAGUAUGCAUAAACUAAAUUUUUUCAACUCCAUUAUUCAUAUUUCAAUAUCUGUGAUAUUUGGAUAGGUUAAGCAAUGUGCACAUUUAUUUUUAUUUAUUUAUUUAUUUAUUUAGAGGAAGAGUAGCCCUGAGCUAACAGCUGCCAAUCCUCCUCUUUUUGCUGAGGAAGACUGGCCCUGAGCUCACAUCUGUGCCCAUCUCCCUCUACUUUAUAUUUGGAACGCCUACCACAGCAUGGCUUGCCAAGUGGUGCCAUGUCAGCACCUGGGAUCCGAACCAGCGAACCCUGGGCCACCGAAGCGGA
ensembl:lncRNA